GCCUCGGUGGCUCCGAGGAGAGAGCGCUGGACUACGGACCCCCUUGUGGCGGGUUCGAAUCCCGGCCGAGGUG
rfam:Ixodes scapularis strain Wikel colony gcontig_1108378603066, whole genome shotgun sequence.